rnacentral:rRNA from 1 species
UACGGAGGGUGCAAGCGUUGUUCGGAAUUACUGGGCGUAAAGCGCACGUAGGCGGGUUUACAAGUCGAUUGUGAAAGCCCCGGGCUCAAUCCGGGAAUGGCAGUCGAAACUGUAAGUCUUGAAUACCUGAGAGGGUGACGGAAUUCCUGGUGUAGAAGUGAAAUUCGUAGAUAUCAGGAGGAACACCGGAGGCGAAGGCGGUUGCCUGGCAGUGUAUUGACGCUGAGGUGCGAAAGCGUGGGGAGCAAACAGG